rnacentral:rRNA from 1 species
GGAAUUGUAAAAGCUUAUUUGAGUUUUUUUUUAUUCUAUNAGAUUUUGAAAAAUAAUUUGGUUNUUANAGUAGUGUUUAAUGAAAUGACUAGUUAANAUUAUAGCUUACAAGUACUGUAAAGGAAAAUAUAACACAAUAAAUAAUUAANAUAGUAUUUAUNAGCAACUGUACCUUGUGUAUCAGGGAGAAUUUAUAUGAAUUAAUUAAUAUUAAAUGUCUCGAAAUAAAAACAGCUAAUUUUAUAUAAUUGUUUUUGUAGAAUAAAAAUGUUGAAUAUAAGAUUAAAGGUGAAAUGCCAGCCGAGUUUUAUUAUAUCUAGUUUUUCUAGAAAUAAAUUUAAUUUAGGCUCUAAAAUAAUUAUAUUUAGAGUUAAAGUGUAGGAGGGAGUAGCUUCUUACAUAUUAAAGGUUGAAAAGUUGGAAAAUAAAUGAUACUUUGAAUUAAGCUUAAAAGUAGCUAUAUUUAUAAAGUGUUUUAACUAAGUAUAAAAGUAAAAAAUAUUUAUAUAAUCUUUCAUAAAUAUAGAAAAAUUAAUUGAAACUAAAUAAAAUAAGAUAUAAUGAUUUUAUUAGUAUAAGUUAGUAUUAAAAAAUGAAGUAGAAUAAUUAUAAAAAUAUAGUNAUUAACAUAAAAAUAUAAAGGAAUUCGGCAAAUAGUUUCCUUGCCUGUUUAUCAAAAACAAGUCUGUUUGAAGAUAUAAGAAGUUUGGCCUGCCCACUGAAAUUUUUAAAGGGCCGCGGUAUUUUGACCGUGCAAAGGUAGCAUAAUCGUUAGUUUUUUAAUUGGAAUCUUGUAUGAAUGGUCGGACGAAGGAGAAUCUGUCUCUGUAUUUAAUAAUUGAAGUUAACUUUUAAGUGAAAAGGCUUAAAUGGAUUAAGGGGACGAUAAGACCCUAUAAAACUUUAUGUAAAAUUUUCAUUUGGUUGAGUUAUACUAUAUAAUAAUUUAGUGAAUAUUUGCAUUAUAUUGGGGUGAUAGAAAUAAAAUGUUUAUUAACUGUUUAAAGUUUGAGACAAAGAUAGGUGAUUAUAUUUAAGUGAUCCUAGAUAAAGAUAAGAAGUUUAAGUUACUUUAGGGAUAACAGCGUUAUUUUUUUUGAGAGUUCUUAUCGAAGAAAGAGUUUGCGACCUCGAUGUUGAAUUAAAAUAUCUA